UGCAGAGGAGCUAUGGGAGUUGCUCAAAAAAGACAACACCUAUGUAUAUAUGUGUGGACUCAAGGGAAUGGAGAAGGGAAUUGAUGACAUAAUGGUCUCUUUGGCUGCUAAAGAUGGCAUCGAUUGGCUUGAAUACAAGAGACAAUU